CCCCACCAGAGCCAAUCAUGCUUCCCGAUGACCCAUCAAGGCUCCCUUCUCUCUGGGACAUAUAUCGAUGCUUUAACCACUGCCUGGAAUAAGAUCAAAUCCUCGUCUCCCUUGGUGAGCCACUUCAAGUGGGACCCCAGUGGAACUGCUCCUGCCAGUCAAGAUAAGUCUUCUCUGAAUUCAGUAAGACACAACAGACACUUUAAGAGACGAGAAAUAUGCAGACUUGCAAGUGACUCCCAAGUGACAAAGAAGCCAUUACCUGAGUGACGUUAUCAUCGUUGGCACUGUUGAAACGCUGCAGCUGCACGUCCCCGUAACUUCGGGUGCUGUGCUCCAGGGCAGCAUGCUGUUGUUCUGGGGCACUAAAGCUGUUGGGGUAGUAAUUUGGAGCACCGCCUUUAAAGGAAAAACAGGAAGAUUCACUUAGGAAGAGGAAAAAUGAAGUCUGCAAAUAACCAAUGUAAUAAAUAAAUUCAAGUGACAAUCUCAUAUAUAUAUAUACACACACACAUAUACACACACACAUAUAUAUAUACACAUAUAGCAUACAUAACACUAUACACCAAAAUACACACACAUACAUUUAGUUACAAGCAGAAUGAAGAUUCUUAGAUAGCACUGUCAUCUUCUGAUUGGGCUGUCUCAUCCUGGUGCUUAAUGAGGAGAUCGCAAAUUCCACUUGAACACUUAAAAUGAUGCAAUCUAUAAAAUCUUCUGAUUCUUACCAGCACAAAGGUAAAUGUUUAAAGGUUUGAUUUGGCCACCAUACAAUAUGAAACCCAAGGACAUAUUUCAAAUUUCCAGGUUUCGUUUGGGCUUGGGCUCAACUCAAACACUGGACACCGAGUUCUUGGAAUCAACCAUGAGCUGCUGGCUCUGCCCCCUCAGUUUACAGACACAGAAAUCGAGCCUGAGGUGUCAACUUACUGUUGCAGGGUCACGCAGUUACUCAGUGGUAGAUCUGAGACUAGAAUGCUGGUACUUUCAUCUCUUCUGGAACUCUACUUCUCUCUUCCUUAAAUGUGUUUAAGAUUCUCAGGAUAGCUCUCCUUUAGUGACUGAUGACUUCAUUCAAUUCCACCUUCACUUUCCUCUCCCUCCACAGACGAAUUACAAAGGGAUUUUUUUAACUUGAUAUUUCUAAUUAUGUCAGCUCUCAUUUCCAGAGACAAAUAGAAUCUAAACAUUUUUAUGACUUCUGGCAUAAAUUAUGAGAAUUCUUUUUUUAUUUUGGCAGACGUAUUUUCCCAACUAUGCUUUGCGUAGGCUGAUACUAGCAUACACUUAAAUUAGAAGAAGUGGCCUAGUGUUUUCUAUAUUAAGAAUUAGCUUUGUGAAAUGUGCCUAUUUGAAUAAUUAAAAAAUUCUAUUUCCAAAUAAACUCUGACUUUUAGUCAAAGUGGGGGUUUUCUUUACAUCAGUGACUACUGGAAACAAUCACACUCUUCUUUCAUCAAGCUUCAAGAGCCCAGCUUACGUCAGUGACUACUGGAAACAAUCACGCUCUUCUUUCAUCAAGCUUCAAGAGCCCAGCCCAAAUCUCUACUGUUAAAAUUAGGCAAAGGGUAUGUCAAAAUACAUGCUGACAUAGUUUUUUCAUACCUAAUCACUAUAAUGGUAAACAAGAAUCAAGCAAUUACUUCUUAAUGAAUUCUGAAACCUAAAUGAACCUUUCUGCUAAAGCCAGUUUCAAUAACGAAAGAACUGAGGAAUGUGAAUGAAAACAAGAAUUGAAGAAUAAAAAUGCCAGGUAAAAUGCAAAAGCCAGACACAGGAAGUACCAAUUAUACCCUAUGCUUUUGUAAACUUCAGAGAGCAGAAAUACUGCAACUUCCUAAU